CCUACGGGAGGCAGCAGUGGGGAAUUUUGGACAAUGGGCGCAAGCCUGAUCCAGCAAUGCCGCGUGCAGGAUGAAGGCCUUCGGGUUGUAAACUGCUUUUGUACGGAACGAAACGGUUCGCUUUAAUAAAGUGGGCUAAUGACGGUACCGUAAGAAUAAGCACCGGCUAACUACGUGCCAGCAGCCGCGGUAAUACGUAGGGUGCGAGCGUUAAUCGGAAUUACUGGGCGUAAAGCGUGCGCAGGCGGUGAUGUAAGACAGAUGUGAAAUCCCCGGGCUCAACCUGGGACCUGCAUUUGUGACUGCAUCGCUAGAGUACGGUAGAGGGGGGAUGGAAUUCCGCGUGUAGCAGUGAAAUGCGUAGAUAUGCGGAGGAACACCGAUGGCGAAGGCAAUCCCCUGGACCUGUACUGACGCUCAUGCACGAAAGCGUGGGGAGCAAACAGGAUUAGAUACCCUGGUAGUCCACGCCCUAAACGAUGUACAACUGGUUGUUGGGUCUUCACUGACUCAGUACGAAGCUAAGCGUGAAGUUGACCGCCUGGGGAGUACGGCCGCAAGGUUGAAACUCGAAAGGAAUUGACGGNGNGAGACGAGACGACGGACGACGACGAGGGGAGGAGG
rnacentral:rRNA from 1 species